GCCAGUAUGGCAUAGUGGUUUGAGUGUUGGAUUGUGACUCUGUGGACCAGGUUUCAAAUCCCUGCUGAGCCA